GGGGGAGACCGCCGCCUGCAGUGGAGUCUGUGGGUCACCGGGGAGGGGGAGCUAGAGAAUGAGAGGGGGUGUUGUCUGUGCAGAAAAUGGGAACCCGAAAGCACAGCAUCACAGCGUUUGCUAGUCACUGAUCGCUGUGCUUCACUGGCGUGUCCACGUUAUUCUCUUGAUUUGAGCCCAGGGACAUGGGAAAGGUACCCACCUUACUUCUAGCAUAGCACACCUGCUCAUUAUCCUGUAUUGGAGGUUCCUAGAGAAAUGAAAGAAAAUUGCAAAGUUUAAUUGGAAACCUGUUGGAAUUGGUACAGGAAGAAUCCAAAAAUACACUUCACACUCAUGUAUAUCAGGCUUUCUACCCUUCUUGGAAAGGCUACUGCCCCUGUUAUCAGACCCCAGAGCCAUCCGGAAGCACCUGAUCCUCACUGCAAUCCCUGAGAGGCCACAUCAACUCAUCUCUAUUUCAGAAAGGCUGGAAGGCAUCUUUUCAUUUCAACACCCAAGAGGAAACGACCAUGAGCCAAGAAAGAUUUAAAUAUCCUCAGAGGCAAGAGUUUGGCUUGCCAGCUUUUAAGGAGCCAAGAUUGUCAUG